CGGUGUCAGCGGCAGACGGGUGAGUAACGCGUGGGAACAUACCUUUUGGUUCGGAACAACACAGGGAAACUUGUGCUAAUACCGGAUAAGCCCUUACGGGGAAAGAUUUAUCGCCGAAAGAUUGGCCCGCGUCUGAUUAGCUUGUUGGUGAGGUAACGGCUCACCAAGGCGACGAUCAGUAGCUGGUCUGAGAGGAUGAUCAGCCACAUUGGGACUGAGACACGGCCCAA
rnacentral:rRNA from 1 species